AGUGAACGCUGGCGGUAGGCCUAACACAUGCAAGUAGAACGGCAGCACAGUAAGAGCUUGCUCUUACGGGUUGCGAGUGGCGGACGGGUGAGGAAUACAUCGUAAUCUACUUUCUCGUGGGGGAUAACGUAGGGAAACUUACGCUAAUACCGCAUACGACCUUCGGGUGAAUGCAGGGGAUCUUCGGACUUUGCGCGAUUGCAUGAGCCGAUGUCGGAUUAGCUAGUUGGCGGGGUAAAGGCCCACCAAGGCGACGAUCCGUAGCUGGUCUGAGAGGAUGAUCAGCCACACUGGAACUGAGACACGGUCCAGACUCCUACGGGAGGCGGCAGUGGGGAAUAUUGGACAAUGGGCGCAAGCCUGAUCCAGCCAUACCGCGUGGGUGAAGAAGGCCUUCGGGUUUUAAAGCCCUUUUGUUGGGAAAGAAAAGCAGCAGGUUAAUACCCCGCUGUUCUGACGGUACCCAAAGAAUAAGCACCGGCUAACUUCGUG
rnacentral:rRNA from 1 species